GCUAGGGGAGGCGAACCGGGAUUAGAAACCCCCCGGUAGUCCUAGCCGUAAACCGAUGGAUACUAGGUGUAGAGGGUCCAAUAAAUCCCCUCCUGUGCCGAAGCUAACCGCGUUAAGUAUCCCGCCUGGGGACUACGGUCGCAAGGCUAAAACUCAAAGGAAUUGACGGGGACCCGCACAAGCAGCGGAGCGUGUGGUUUAAUUCGAUGCAACGCGAAGAACCUUACCAGGGCUUGACAUGCAGGUAGUAGUGAAGCGAAAGCGGAACGAUCCUUCGGGAAGCCUGCACAGGUGCUGCAUGGCUGUCGUCAGCUCGUGCCGUGAGGUGUUAGGUUAAGUCCCUGUAACGAGCGCAACCCUCGCCGCUAGUUAUAUGUGUCUAGCGGGACUGCCCGGCUCAACUGGGAGGAAGGUGGGGAUGACGUCAAGUCAGCAUGGCCUUUAUGUCCUGGGCGACACACACGCUAACAAUGGCCGGUACAAUGGGUAGCCAAGCCGCGAGG
rnacentral:rRNA from 1 species